UUGAACGCUGGCGGCAUGCCUUACACAUGCAAGUCGAACGGCAGCACGGGGGCAACCCUGGUGGCGAGUGGCGAACGGGUGAGUAAUGCAUCGGAACGUGUCCUCUUGUGGGGGAUAACCAGUCGAAAGAUUGGCUAAUACCGCAUGAGAUCGAGAGAUGAAAGCGGGGGACCGCAAGGCCUCGCGCGAGAGGAGCGGCCGAUGCCGGAUUAGCUAGUUGGUGGGGUAAAAGCCCACCAAGGCGACGAUCCGUAGCUGGUCUGAGAGGACGACCAGCCACACUGGGACUGAGACACGGCCCAGACUCCUACGGGAGGCAGCAGUGGGGAAUUUUGGACAAUGGGCGCAAGCCUGAUCCAGCCAUGCCGCGUGUGUGAAGAAGGCCUUCGGGUUGUAAAGCACUUUCGGACGGAACGAAAUCGCGCGGGUUAACAGCGCGCGUGGAUGACGGUACCGUAAGAAGAAGCACCGGCUAACUACGU
rnacentral:rRNA from 1 species